rnacentral:tRNA from 1 species
GGGCUGUGGCUCAGGGGCAAAGUAUCUGCUUUGUAUGUUGAGUGUCCAAGUUCAAUUCCUGGGAUCUCCA